AGUGAACGCUGGCGGCAGGCCUAACACAUGCAAGUCGAACGACAGCACAGUAAGAGCUGGCUCUUACGGGUGGCGAGGGGCGGACGGGUGAGGAAUACAUCGGAUACUACUUGUACGGGGGUGAUAACGGAGGGAAAGUUAUGCUAAUACAGAAUAUGACGUACGGGUGAAAGCAGGGGAGCUUCGGACCUUGCGCGACAGAAAGAGCCGAUGUCGGAUUAGCUAGUUGGGGGGGUAACGGCACACCAAGGCGACGAUACGUAGCUGGUCUGAGAGGAUGAUCAGCCACACUGGAACUGAGACACGGUCCAGACUCCUACGGGAGGCAGCAGUGGGGAAUAUUGCGCAAUGGGCGAAAGCCUGAUCCAGCCAUACCGCGUGAGUGAUGAAGGCCUUCGGAUUGUAAAACCCUUUUGUUGGGAAAGAACAAAAGCGGUUUAAUCCCCGGCUGUUCUGACGGUACCCAAAGAAUAAGCACCGGCUAACUUCGUG
rnacentral:rRNA from 1 species